UGCAACAUUCUUUUUGAGGAACACUACUACAAAAUUUUAGGGAACCAGCAUCUGAAGGUGACUGCAGCAUGACUCUGUUGCCACAAACAUACAUUUUCAAUAAGGACCACAAAGGUAAGAUUUGAGAAAUCAGUGUGCAUAUGGAAAUAUACAGACAGUCAUUUUCCCCCACAUGCUAUUUGUGAGUGGAACAGGAAAAGAAAUGAAUAGUAGUGGUACAGGGCACUAUCCACUAUGCACUGUGCAGUGGCUUGCAGGGUAUGUAUGUAGAUGUAAACUGUUUGCCCAUGAAAUUUCCUGGCAGAUUAAAACUGUGUGUCGGACCGAGACUCGAACUUGGGACCUUUGCCUUUCACAGGCAAGUGCUCUACCACUGAGUUACCCAAGCAUGACUCUCAAACCAUCCUCACAGCUUUACUUCUGCCAGUACCUCAUCUCCUACCUUCCUAACUUUACAGAAGCUCUCCUGCAAACCUUGCAGAACUAGCACCCCUGAAAGAAAGGAUAUUGCGGAGACAUGGCUUAGCCACAGCCUGGGGUAUGUUUCCAGAAUGAGAUUUUCACUCUGCAGUGGAGUGUGCGCUGAUAUGAAACUUCCUGGCAGAUUAAAACUGUGUGUCGGACCGAGUGUGUCAAGUUCGAGUCUCAGUCAGACACACAGUUUUAAUCUGCCAGGAAGUUUCAUAUCAGCACACAGUCUGCUGCAGAGUAAAAAUCUCAUUCUGUUCUGCCCAUGUUUCUCCAUUGGUUUACUCUCUUCUCCCACGCUCUGUCACUCACUUUCUUUCAUCUGUACUGUUACAUUUAUCUUGCUUGUUAAGAUAGCUCCACAAUCAACAACUGGAAGAAGAAAGAUGUGGAGGUUGAUGCGGCCACUCCACAUCCCCAUGUAAAGAGAUAAAGUGACCUGGAAAAUGUUCCUUGAGAAAAGCCAUGGGUGGGCUUCAGCACAAUGUUGGCCAAGUGUUAACAUUGUGAAAGUUGGGCAGCCAGUUGAACACCAAGGAACUGCUGGCUGUAAGCUGUGGAGGAGAUAUCACGCAGUAAAAUCUUGUUGAAUGUAUGAUCAGAAAUCUGCAUAAUGGGAUAUGAAUAUCUGCUGAGUUUGUUCUAAAAUGCUUCAUUACUGAGGAAGAAAUGUGAGUUUGAUGUUACAAAACUUGUUGAUGUCCAAUACAUGA